rnacentral:rRNA from 1 species
UGCUUAAUACAUGCAAGUCGUGCGAGAAAGUUACCUUCGGGUAGCAAGUAGAGCGGCGAACGGGUGAGUAACACGUAAGCAACCUACCUCUAAAUCUGGGAUAACCUUGCCAACGCGGGGCUAAUACCGGAUGUUGUUCUUGUACCUCAUGGUAUAAGAAUUAAAGAUGACCUCUUCUUGAAAGUUAUUGUUUAGAGAUGGACUUGCGUACCAUUAGUUUGUUGGUGGGGUAAUGGCCUACCAAGACUACGAUGGUUAGCCGACCUGAGAGGGUGAUCGGCCACAUUGGGACUGAGAUACGGCCCAGACUCCUACGGGAGGCAGCAGUAGGGAAUCUUGCGCAAUGGACGAAAGUCUGACGCAGCAACUCCGCGUGAAGGAUGACGGCCUUAGGGUUGUAAACUUCUGUUGAAUGGGAAGAAUGACUUUUGUGCUAAUACCACAAAGACUUGACGGUACCAUUUUAGAAAGCUCCGGCUAACUACGUGCCAGCAGCCGCGGUAAUACGUAGGGAGCAAGCGUUGUUCGGAAUCACUGGGCGUAAAGCGAAUGUAGGCGGGAUUGUAAGUUAGAAGUGAAAUGUAUCGGCUCAACCGGUAAUCUGCUUUUAAUACUGCAGUUCUUGAGUAUGGAAGAGGAAGAUGGAAUUUCAGGUGUAGCGGUGGAAUGCGUAGAUAUCUGAAAGAACACCAGUUGCGAAGGCGGUCUUCUGGUCCAAUACUGACGCUGAGGUUCGAAAGCUAAGGGAGCGAACAGGAUUAGAUACCCUGGUAGUCUUAGCCGUAAACGAUGGAUACUAGUUGUUGGGGUUGUUAUGACUUCAGUGACGAAGCUAACGCAUUAAGUAUCCCGCCUGGGGAGUACGCUCGCAAGAGUGAAACUCAAAGGAAUUGACGGGGGCCCGCACAAGCGGUGGAGCAUGUGCUUUAAUUCGAUGCAACGCGAAGAACCUUACCUGGUCUUGACAUGUGAAUGAUAGACUUUAGAGAUAGAGUAAUUUCCUUCGGGAACAUUCAACACAGGUGCUGCAUGGUUGUCGUCAGCUCGUGUCGUGAGAUGUUGGGUUAAGUCCCGCAACGAGCGCAACCCCUAUCCUUAGUUGCCAUCAGGUAAUGCUGGGAACUCUAGGGAGACUGCCUGGUUUAACCAGGAGGAAGGUGGGGAUGACGUCAAAUCAUCAUGGCCCUUACGACCAGGGCUA